GUUUUUUGCAUAUGGGAAUGGUUAGUUCUUAAAUGCACAGGAAUAAUUGACAAUUAAUGCACAUGUUUUAUUAAUUUUAUCAUAAAAUUCAUUUUGGGGCAUAAGUAAUGGAAUAAAAAUUGGAAGAAAUUUUUAGGACCUACUUUUUAAGAAAAAAUUAUCAAUAAUUUUUAAUUUUAUAGAAUGAAAAUAGAAGGUUAACAUAAGAAAGCAGAAGAAAAAUGUGUUUGUACAGUAUAUGAGUUAUGUAAAAACUUUUGAUAUUACACAACAAAACUAAAACCACGAUGGAAGAGGAUUUCAAACAUACUUAAGUGUUUUUCUGUUAACUAUAAGUGACUGCAUAAAUAUCUAGGAAUACUAGGGAUAGAUAAUUUACUACAUCAGAUAGCAUCCAAAGGAGGUUAUGAUUAUGCACUGCCAGUUAAUGUUCAUAUUCCAGUAAUAGAUGUGAAAAAUUAGAUAAAUUUCAGUGACUUGUAUUAGAAGAGUGUUGUUUUUGUAUUUUGGCUGGAUUUAAGUUUUAUGGAUUGGAUCAAACCAUAGUUGCAACACAAAUAUGGGAGUCAAACAUGUGGAAGCAGCUCUCCUUCUAUCAAAAUCUGUAAAUAUGUGAUAUUUUAUUGGGACAGUUAAUUCUUGUAAUAUGUAAAAAUGUUCUUCAUUUCUUCAGUAUUUGAAAAAAUGAGAAUCGCUUUUAUAUUUUAUUGUGAAUACAACCUUUUUAGUACUGUCAGAAUGAAAUUUUCAUGUUUUAUGUAAGAAAACACAAUUUUAUAAAAGAAAAUUGUGCUGAUCUGCAUUUUUUUUAAAACAUACUUGAAUUAUUUUUGAUAUGAAU